rnacentral:rRNA from 1 species
UAGGGAAUCUUCCACAAUGGACGCAAGUCUGGUGGAGCAACGCCGCGUGAGUGAAGAAGGUCUUCGGAUCGUAAAGCUCUGUUGUUGGUGAAGAAGGAUAGAGGCAGUAACUGGUCUUUAUUUGACGGUAAUCAACCAGAAAGUCACGGCUAACUACGUGCCAGCAGCCGCGGUAAUACGUAGGUGGCAAGCGUUGUCCGGAUUUAUUGGGCGUAAAGCGAGCGCAGGCGGAAUGAUAAGUCUGAUGUGAAAGCCCACGGCUCAACCGUGGAACUGCAUCGGAAACUGUCAUUCUUGAGUGCAGAAGAGGAGAGUGGAACUCCAUGUGUAGCGGUGGAAUGCGUAGAUAUAUGGAAGAACACCAGUGGCGAAGGCGGCUCUCUGGUCUGCAACUGACGCUGAGGCUCGAAAGCAUGGGUAGCGAACAGGAUUAGAUACCCUGGUAGUCCAUGCCGUAAACGAUGAGCGCUAGGUGUUGGGGACUUUCCGGUCCUCAGUGCCGCAGCAAACGCAUUAAGCGCUCCGCCUGGGGAGUACGACCGCAAGGUUGAAACG